rnacentral:misc_RNA from 1 species
AGCCUAAGGCGCGCCUUUAAUAACACUACUGCUAUUGAAACCACAUCCACCAAUAGCCUAAACACAAUGAAUUAGGUAAAGAUCAACCAGACUACAUUUGAUUUCACAUUACUACCGUGUGCCUGAUUUCACAAGAUUCUACACCCAAGUAGCACCACGUCAUCGGCCGGCUCAAGUGCCUCUUAGCCGCCACUUCAAUAUCACAUCCACAACAAGGCCAAGUCAACGCGACAUCAACAAAAUUUUGGUAGGACCCUUCCUAAUUUUAACACAAUUUUGAUUUUGACAUCCAUUUUGGGUAAAAAUGAGUAUUUAAGGCUAGUAAAAGCUUUGAAAUUGCGUUUUUUGACACUAUGUUGUGGAUUGACAUUGAAAGACUCCAAAACAAGUAUAUGCAUGUCAUUGGAUAGACAGAAAUGGUGGUGAACAUGACUUAUAUUAUAAAGUAUGUUAUAUAAAUAUCAAGU